GGAGUAGGGUGUGCACCUAAAUGAAAUCUAUCAAUCCUAGCAGAAGAAAAUAAUUUUAUGGAAUUUAAGAAGCUGAGUCUUUUAGUCUAUGGCCAUAGCAGUGUGAUUAAUGAAAAAAGAUUUCUAUGAGAAUCAUACAUAGACUCGAAUUGAUUGAAUAUAUCAUAUGAUCGAUGAUGAGGUUUGAUGAUUCAUCCAUGACCUACUAUCUGAUCG
rnacentral:lncRNA from 1 species